rnacentral:rRNA from 1 species
CCUACGGGAGUCAGCAGUGGGGAAUAUUGCACAAUGGGGGAAACCCUGAUGCAGCGACGCCGCGUGAGCGAUGAAGUAUUUCGGAAUGUAAAGCUCUAUCAGCAGGGAAGAAAAUGACGGUAACUGACUAAGAAGCCCCGGCCAACUACGUGCCAGCAGCCGAGGGAAAACGUAGGGGGCAAGCGUUAUCCGGAUUUACUGGGUGUAAAGGGAGCGUAGACGGGCCUGCAAGCCAGAUGUGAAAGCCCGGGGCUCAACCCCGGGACUGCCUUUGGAACUGGAAGGCUAGAGUGUCGGAGAGGCAGGCGGAAUUCCGGGUGUAGCGGUGAAAUGCGUAGAUAUUAGGAGGAACACCAGUGGCGAAGGCGGCCUGCUGGACGAUGACUGACGUUGAGGCUCGAAAGCGUGGGGAGCAAACAGGAUUAGAUACCCGGGUAGUC